GACCGGUCCCCAUGGAAGAGAUGGAAGAGGAGUUGAAAUGCCCCGUGUGCGGCUCCUUCUAUCGCGAGCCCAUCAUCCUGCCCUGCUCUCACAAUCUGUGUCAGGCGUGCGCCCGCAACAUCCUGGUGCAGACCCCGGAGUCCGAGUCCCCGCAGAGCCGUCGGGCCUCGGGCUCCGGGGUCUCCGACUAUGACUACCUGGACCUGGACAAGAUGAGCCUGUACAGCGAGGCGGACAGCGGCUAUGGCUCCUACGGGGGUUUCGCCAGCGCCCCUACCACCCCGUGCCAGAAGUCCCCCAACGGCGUCCGCGUGUUUCCCCCAGCGAUGCCGCCACCGGCCACCCACCUGUCACCGGCCCUGGCCCCGGUGCCCCGCAACUCCUGCAUCACCUGUCCCCAGUGUCACCGCAGCCUCAUCCUGGAUGACCGGGGGCUCCGCGGCUUCCCCAAGAACCGCGUUCUGGAGGGGGUGAUUGACCGCUACCAGCAGAGCAAAGCCGCGGCCCUCAAGUGCCAGCUGUGCGAGAAGGCGCCCAAGGAGGCCACCGUCAUGUGCGAGCAGUGCGACGUGUUCUACUGCGACCCGUGCCGCCUGCGGUGCCACCCGCCGCGGGGGCCCCUCGCCAAGCACCGCCUGGUGCCCCCGGCCCAGGGCCGCGUGAGCCGGCGGUUGAGUCCGCGCAAGGUGUCCACAUGCACGGACCACGAGCUGGAGAACCACAGCAUGUACUGCGUGCAGUGCAAGAUGCCCGUGUGCUACCAGUGCUUGGAGGAGGGCAAGCACUCCAGCCACGAGGUCAAGGCCCUGGGGGCCAUGUGGAAGCUACACAAGAGCCAGCUCUCCCAGGCGCUGAACGGACUGUCCGACAGGGCCAAAGAAGCCAAGGAGUUUCUUGUGCAGCUCCGCAACAUGGUGCAACAGAUCCAGGAGAACAGUGUGGAGUUUGAAGCCUGUCUGGUGGCCCAAUGUGAUGCCCUUAUCGAUGCCCUCAACAGAAGGAAAGCCCAGUUGCUGGCCCGUGUCAACAAGGAACAUGAGCACAAGCUAAAGGUGGUUCGAGAUCAGAUCUCUCACUGCACAGUGAAAUUGCGCCAGACCACAGGUCUCAUGGAGUACUGCUUGGAGGUGAUUAAGGAAAAUGAUCCUAGUGGCUUUUUGCAGAUAUCUGACGCCCUCAUAAGGAGAGUGCACCUGACUGAGGAUCAGUGGGGAAAAGGCACGCUGACUCCCAGAAUGACCACGGACUUUGACUUGAGUCUGGACAACAGCCCUCUACUGCAAUCCAUCCACCAGCUCGACUUUGUGCAGGUGAAAGCUUCCUCUCCAGUCCUGGCCACCCCCAUCCUACAGCUGGAGGAGUGUUGUACCCACAACAACAGCGCCACGCUGUCCUGGAAACAGCCACCUCUGUCCACAGUGCCCGCCGAAGGAUACAUCCUAGAGCUGGACGAUGGCAAUGGUGGUCAGUUCCGGGAGGUGUAUGUGGGGAAGGAGACCAUGUGUACCGUGGAUGGUCUUCACUUCAAUAGCACAUACAACGCUCGCGUCAAGGCCUUCAACAAAACAGGAGUCAGCCCGUACAGCAAGACCCUGGUCCUCCAAACGUCCGAGGGUAAGGCCCUUCAGCAGUAUCCCUCAGAGCGAGAACUGCGUGGCAUCUAAAAUGGCUGGCAAGCCCGGAGGUAACCCCACCACUGCCCACAUUCCUGAAGUGUUGCCAUGACUCGCUCUGCAUUCUGCACAGAGCCGCUGUUCCUCUCCUGCCGUUAGAGAGCCCAUGGUAUGUGGAUGUGAUCAAACCAAAGAUCCCACAUCGGCAGUUCAAAUGGCUUGGGCCAUCGGCUUCCUUUGAUAACACUCUAAGUGAGCUGCAGUUGAAGAAGCUGAAACCUGAAAGCCUGAAUGUGCCCCUGGUGUGAGACGAACGUACCUAGGCUCUAGGACAGGCUCCCACUCUCCACCGAUACCCGUCAUGUGCCAUUUUUGCCCAGAUGAUUCUAAGCUGCUCUGUAGUACUUACCUGUUCCUGGGGGUGGUGCGCAGGUUCUUUCCAGCUGUGGGUUUGUAUGACUGAACGUGUUUCAGGUGGGUGUGGGGCACUAGAACUGUUCAGAGAGGGCCUGUUGGCCGCUCCUGGCUUCCCGAACCACCUCCAUUUCAUACACAAAGCAGAGGCCAUUGGCACCAGCACUGGGACUUCCUGUGGGCACCAAACAGGAAAGAUACCAGCAACUCCAAGUUACCCACCCUUGUCAUCUUUGCCAGCCCCUCUAGUCUUGGUCAGGUUGCCUAGGGCCACCAUAAGUGGUCAGUCGCUAGAGAAAUUUUGCUUCUUGGUUAUAUGCUAAAUAUUUUGGUCAUCAAAGGCAAGUAAUCCACCCAGAAGGGAGGCUUGAAUUUGAUGGCCAGGUAUAACUUCUGAAGCUUUUAACAUGUUCACUUUAAGAGUAGGCGUGACACAUGAAAUUAAACCUCCGAAGAGAUAUGUGUGGCCCGUGCCAAAGCAUCUUGAGACCUUGGGGUGUCAUUUUAAUCAAAUAGGUCACCCCCCACCACACUGGCAUUCUCCAUAACUUCCCUCUGCAGAAGUAAUUAUGUUGAUUUUGUUCAAGUUCAAGAUGUUAGCUAAAAGAAGCGUGGUGGGUUUUUUUUUCUCACUUCCCACAAACCUCAGCAUAUGCCAGUCACCCUAAAAUGAUUCACAUGGUUACAAACAAGCACAACUUUGAACCCCACAGCAAGAGUGAAAGGCCCCUAGCCAUGAAAACAGUGCUUUGGGGGGCAGUUGUCAGUCUAUGAGUGAUGCUAUUCAAAGAGAGGGAUUUGUUCAAAGGAAAAUGCCCACAUGACCUAUUCCCAUUUGGAGUACAGUGACGUGGUAGCUAGAACUUCCCUUGGAAUUAGCAUUUUAGCAACUUCUCUCUGAAGUGACCUAUCCAUUUGAGAGCAGUUACCUCUUUUCCCAAAAUACCACUGCAUACAUGCUAAAGCCCUCCAAGAAAUUUUCCUAAAUGCACAGCAGAAGGCCCUUGCUGGUGAUGGCCUCCUUCCCAUGUGUGUACAAGGUGGUUUGGUUGAACGGUGAAGUGCAUGCCUGCAGAGCAGAGAGAAAUUUGCAGCAAUGUUGCUAAUACAUGUCAUCAGAUCUGCGGGAGAAUAGUUUCCAUUCACAAAGCAUCAUGGCAAUCAUACUAUUCUGCUAAAAUCAGUUAUUAGAGUUAUUAGUAUAACAGCCUGAGCACUUAUGCCUCUCGUUUCAUCCUGCAGGAAGAUGUAGUUUCUCAGUUUCUUUUAAUGUUCACAAGAUUAUGGUGUCUAAUUUAAUAAAUUACAGGAUUGGAACUGCGAUCCUUGGUACCACAGUCACAGAACUGGGGGUCUUUUUCUAGAUGAAACAAACGGAACAAGUUCUCUUCCAACAAAGAAACUGUACUGUAGAAAUUAAUUUCCUCCAUGAAUUUUAUAUAUUGUGUACAAAUAUAAGCUAAUAGCUACAUGAAAUAAGUGACAAUAUAUUGAAGGAAAAAUAUAAUCUACAGUGGGGGGAAGACUCCCCAGAGAAGAGAGAGAGAACCAAACAGAGGAAAAUAUUGUCUGCAGUGCAGAAAUGUCCAAAAUCUGCCUCGAGGUGACCACAAAAGGGAAAAUGUGGGCAUUCAGAAACACUAAUUGAGCGCCUACCUCAAGUAUGUCAGUUCCUUGGCAGCCCAGAAUCACAAGGAUGCACAAAGCACAGCCCCUGCCCUAGAAUCCAUGGGCUUCACGCCUUCUUCCUAAACUUCAUAGCACCUUCCUCAGAUCACCCAAAAACAAUAGCGCCACCUUACAUCUCUGGAACUAAUGUACCCACCCUACAAUCUAGAUUGCCAUCUUAUAACCAGGAAGUAAGAACAGUGCCCUCUGAUUGGCAAAAAGCAAAAAGAAAGAAAGAAAAGAAAAGAAAAGACACCGAGUCCAGGCAUAGAAUCCCCUGUCCUAUCAUCACAACAGAACCCUUAGUCUCACUCAGUUCUCAUUUACUCUUAAUAAUCACACCGUUCCACUGAGCUCAUCGACCCAAUUUCUAAGACGAGAAGCAGCGCAUUAGAAGAGAGAAGAGGACCCGGGCUCCGUAGCUCAGCUUGUAAUCCCGCACCUUUGGGAGGCCGAGGUGAGUGGAUUGCU